rnacentral:tRNA from 1 species
GGCGCCCAAGUGUAAUGGUUAGAACUCUGGACUCUGAAUCCAGCAAUCUGAGUUCAAAUCUCGGUGGAACCU